rnacentral:misc_RNA from 1 species
GAUGAAGAACGUAGCGAAAUGCGAUACGUAAUGUGAAUUGCAGAUCUCUCAGUGAAUCAUCGAAUCUUUGAACGCACAUUGCGCCCGCUGGUAUUCCGGCGGGCAUGCCUGUUCGAGCGUCAUUUCAACCCUCAAGCCCCCGGGUUUGGUGUUGGGGAUCGGCUCUGCCUUCUGGCGGUGCCGCCCCCGAAAUACAUUGGCGGUCUCGCUGCAGCCUCCAUUGCGUAGUAGCUAACACCUCGCAACUGGAACGCGGCGCGGCCAUGCCGUAAAACCCCAACUUCUGAAUGUUGACCUCGGAUCAGGUAGGAAUACCCGCUGAACUUAAGCAUAUCAAUAAGCGGAGGA